AGGUGAUUUUCUUAGGGUCACACGGUGAUACCUUGUUGUGAUGAAUAUAUACAGCUAGUAGAACUUUUGAUUAAUGUGAGUGCGGCAGAUUUAUUGCAACAGGGGCUCCAAUUCUUUUCUUCUCUCUAUCCAAGCACCAUGGGAUGUAACUUUGUAGCUCCUCCCAUCAAGAAGUCUACUCAAGAGGUCUCAUUGAGGUCUACUUCCUGUACCUCCAAACCUGGGUUGGCUUUGAGACUUGCUUUGACCUAUAGGAAGAAAAUCUGAACCAGAAACAGUAUGGCAGAAUUGGGAUCUGACUCACAGAGGGAAGAACUUAUAAUUCUUCACAGACGCCUAAAUACCUGACGUGUGACAGCAAAUGCCUGUUCCCAUGGAGCUGCUGCUUCUGAGAAAGCUUGAAACAGACAAAGAAUAAGGUAGAAAUGACCUCCUCACUAGAGAUGAAAAGAAGCUGUCCUGGUGAGGAAAUUGGAUCCCAGCUUUUGCCGCUAAGAUUCUUCUCUUCUGCCUCUGGUUUUCUUUAUUGUUCACCCCCAGAAGCAAUCGCUCUCUCACAAGGCAACACACGCAAUAGAGUGAACAGUGAUUCUACAGUCUGAUUCUGGAAAAGGCGACCACAGUGGAAAGAGUGAUCCACACAAGUAUAGGGCCUCCUGAUUAAAACACUAAGAUUUCAUCUCACGCUGUGCCUUUAUACUGUUGAGAUACUAAAGAGGACACUAAAGAUCAAAGUGCUACUUUACAACAUUUUGAAGAAAACAACUGCUACCUGUGUAUUAGUUUGUGCAGAUGUGUUACACAGCUUAGCUGUGUCUGUACCAGUUUAUUAGAAUCAAAGUAUUUUUAAAGUACCUAAGGCCAGGCACAGUGGCUCACACCUGUAAUCCCAGCACUUUGGGAGGCUGAGGCAAG
rnacentral:lncRNA from 1 species